GGGAGUGGUGUGUGCGGGCAAGUUUGCAAGCCUUUGGGUUACAGUUUUGUGAUGAGCCAGCCGGCCCACAGUUACCUGCAGUCCCACUCUCCUGGUUCAAAUCCUGACCCUGCUACUCUCAAGCUGUGUGGCUUAGGAGAUACGCAGAAGGAACAAUCCCUUCCAAAGAAUCUUGGUGGAUGCAUUCACCUGGGCUGGACGUGCCAGGAGAGGGAUCAAGUUGUACAAAGGGUCAAGAGGGGACAAUGAGAAGAACAGUUAGGAAACGCAUGUGCAGCUCACGCCAUGGUUUACAAAGCACUCCCACGGGCACCGGAAGGGAUCAUUUUCAAGUCUUCCUUUCAGGUGAGGAAACUGAGGCCCAGUGAAGUUAGAGAAGUCCAAGUCACUUAGCUGGUAGGUUGGUGGGAGGACCACCCCAGGUCACAAAUUUA